rnacentral:rRNA from 1 species
GACGAGCUCUCCAAACGUUAUUCGGUAUCACUGGGCUUAAAGAGUUCGUAGGCGGCCUUGCAGGUGAGGUGUGAAAGCCCUCGGCUCAACCGGGGAACUGCGCUUCAAACCGCAAGGCUGGAGGGAGAUAGAGGUGAGCGGAACAGAUGGUGGAGCGGUGAAAUGCGUUGAUAUCAUCUGGAACACCGGUGGCGAAAGCGGCUCACUGGAUCUUUUCUGACGCUGAGGAACGAAAGCUAGGGUAGCGAACGGG